UACGUAGGGUGCGAGCGUUGUCCGGAAUUAUUGGGCGUAAAGAGCUCGUAGGCGGCUUGUCGCGUCGGAUGUGAAAGCCCGGGGCUUAACUCCGGGUCUGCAUUCGAUACGGGCAGGCUAGAGUUCGGUAGGGGAGAUCGGAAUUCCUGGUGUAGCGGUGAAAUGCGCAGAUAUCAGGAGGAACACCGGUGGCGAAGGCGGAUUUCUGGGCCGAUACUGACGCUGAGGAGCGAAAGCGUGGGGAGCGAACAGG
rnacentral:rRNA from 1 species